rnacentral:lncRNA from 1 species
GCGGCUGCUGCCCUCACUUCAGACGCUGCCCGCUCCUCCCUUUUACCGGGUGGCGGAGGGCAUCUGAUCCUAAGCUCCUUGUGUUCAGAGAGACUCUCUUGCCAUACUCUUCAGUCAUUUCCUACUGGAAUACCCUGAAAGGAAUGAUGCGGAAAUGAGAUUGGGAUUGUGGAGAUGGGGUUUUUUUUUGAAGCCCUAUCCACAAACUGCUAAAGGACCUAGAAAGUGAAGAAAGCAAUUCCCAUGACCAGGAACAGAGAAACGGAUACCCCAGAGGGUGAUGGUAUUUGGAGUGAGAAUGCUUAUAGGCCAUACUCUGCUUUACUAGACUUCGAGAAUAAGAAAGAAAUACUCCAGAGGCUAAUCUAAUGAGAAAUAUGUGAAGUGAUUCCACUCUCAGGCUGUGGAAUCCACUAAAACUCAGCUUCUGUAGCAUGAAGGACUGCAAGAGAAGCAACUCUGAAGCGAGAUUGGACUCUGAAGAAUUAUGAAAAAUGAUUUCUUACUUGUUGUUUUGUCACUUCCUAUCUAUCAGUGCAGGAUAGUAUCAGUAAUUGAAAAACACACUAGUUGAGACCCUGGAGUGUUUCUGCCCAAAGGACACCACAGCAUAAAGCUGUGGGGAAGAUGGUUGUAAAUUGAAAGGUCUGCAUCUGCUGCUUUUUGCCUCCUUUGAAGCCACUGAUGGUACAACAUGACAGAAACUCUUAAACUGUCAAGGACUUUCUAUUAUUAUCACUUUUUUCAAAGACACUAAAUAAAGCACUCUGUACUUCUAUUGCUACUCUCCCAUGUGGAUUUUAAUAAUUCUUUAGUUUUUGUUUGAUGGUUUUUAUUCUAUUUUAUGUGUAGCGUAUUUAAAUGUUUACUUUGUCUUUACAAUAUGGCAAGAGUUCAUUGCCUUCUGGAACAUGCAUAAUCUUACCACCAUAUCAGCAUUAUUAGGUUGGGAAACCACAUAAAAGGCCUUUAUCUAAUUGUUACUGAAUUAGUGAAGAAAUGCUCACAUAUUCUUGCCCAUUUAAAGUGCCCAUUUGAUUAAAACAAUGUCAAAAAGCAAAUUUAUUAAAAACCAAUUGGUCAUAGUUUUAGAGAAUACUUUGUGACUUGUAUGUAGAAAAUUAAUGUCAAUGACCUAUAAUCAAUAGAAUAUGUACGUUAAAUGAUUUCCAGUGCUAGUGUUGGGUUAUGCCAGUUCCUUUACUAAUCACAGGGCACAUGUGUGAUAUUGACCUCUGGGGAUGAUGAUAGGGUCUGUGACCUUAAAAAUGUAAAUAGUAGGGUAGGGGAAACUAAAUGCUCAUGGUAUAAAUCAAACACAUGACUUUAGACCAACUAGCAUCAUAUUCCAAGUAGGCAUUUAAACAUAAUAGUAAAUUCCAGAUUAUCCACAACAUGCAUAUUUUUGAGGGAUCACCUGUGUUAACAUUUCUUCCUCACCAGGCCCCCUCCUUGGUCUUUUCCCUGACACUCUAUAAUCAUCUUGGGACUAUAAGCCUCCCUUCUCCCCACCGCACAUCCCCUACAAUGAUAUCUCAAGCCAGACUCUUUGCUGACACCUGCACUAAUAGCAGGGUAGAUUAUCUACUCUUCUUAAUUAUCUCUCCCCCAGCUGCCUCCAUUAGCUUGGAUAAUUGACUGUAUGUAUAACAUUCAUAAGCAGAACAAUGUGCUAUGGAAAAAAAUUAAGGGAGAGAAAAAAAUGAAUCUUUAGUUUAUAUAAGAUUAGCUAUGUGUGGCAUCAGACGUAUGGCAUCUGGAGUUUUGGGGGAGCAUCUGCUUUUCUUUUGUUGGGAAAGUCGUUAAGAAUUUGGAAUGAGGUUUUUCAAAGAAUAGGAGGAAGUGUUGCAUACAUUUUACAUGGAGAGGGCAUUCAAGAAAGAGAGUUUCCGUGAGGGAAAGUUGCACUCUCAUGAGUGAGAAGACAGGAAGCAGCAAAUACUGAGAGCUAGAGAAGACAAGUUUGGCCAUGAGAUACAGAGCUGCUGAGGAGGCCUGAGAAGGUGAGGGUACCAAUUCAGUGGCAAAUGUUCACUAACAGGACAAUUGUGGAAGAAGAAAACUAUUUUUUUCCAAAGCCUUUGAGUCAAUCCUAUCAAUUGCCCCUGCAAUUUUGUUCCUAUGAAAUAGGUAUUCAUCCCUAUUAUAUGACCAACAAAUCCAAGCAUUAAAAUAGAUGUAGUGAUUUCUGCAAAUUGACAAAUGAUGAGACUGGAAUUUAAAGCCAUAGAAUGUGAUGCCUGGGAAUGGAUUGUGAUCCAGCAGGCUAUUUGAACCAUUUGAACUCUUUAAAAGAGCAUAGUUCAAAGUUGCAUUAAUUUAAAAGAAAACUUAUUUGAACAGAAAAUACAAGUCCUAUGAAAUGAUUACUAUAAGUUUUAUAAUACCUUAAAUAUGUGAACAGUGAAUAUAUAGGGAGGGCAAAAAUGAAAAUAAAUUUGUGAUUUAAUUGUCAGAAUACUUCUUUAAAAGCAAUCAGGAAUACUUAGAUUGAAAACAGAAUUAGAGAAUUAAUUAUCUGUAAAAUAAUCAAAAACAUUUCAUUUUUCUUUGUGUGAGAUUAAAUAGUUUGCACUUUAAUUUUGUAUAUUUUCAAAUUCUCAUAAUAAAGAUUCAGGUCGCUUAUAUUCUAUCUUGAGCCUCUUGGAUGACCUAAGAAUUCCUGGUAUAUUAUUUUUGAGGUUUUAGAAAAAAAGGUGGAAUUUUGUUCUUAUACCUUUUAUGGAUUGACCUCAUAAAAAUGAGUAUACAAAAAAGAAGGGGCACGUUGAGGUGAUUUAUUCAUUGAUCUGGUGUGUGAUGUUGUUAAUUAAAGCUUUUUUGAAAAUU